rnacentral:misc_RNA from 1 species
CCGAGUUUACAACUCCCAAACCCCUGUGAACUUAUACCUUUACUGUUGCUUCGGCGGGUUAUUGCCCCGGGGAAACAGGCGGCCGUCAGGUCCCUGCCCACCCGGAAACAGGCGCCCGCCGGGGGACUCAAACUCUUCUGUAUUUUUUAUUUUACUGUUAUACUGUCUGAGUAAAAAACUAUAAAUGAAUCA